AUCCGAUAGCUCUGCCAAGUGGGAGGCGUUUUUCCCACAUGGUCACUAGGCAACCUCUUCCUGCGCAAGCCAGGCGACCUGCCUCCUUUGUUGUCCCCAGUUCGUGUCAUUAGCUGCAGGCAGCAGCUCGAGCUGCUAAUUAAUUUUUCAGUGUUACCUGUUCACCUGCGAAACCUGAUGCUGGGGGGUGCUCGUGGGGGUGGGGGUGGGGGUGGCGAUGCCGCGCUGCCUGCCUGCCUGCCUCUGUGGUGCCAGCGGUUCCUUAGCAACGCAGCCGCUGCUCUGCGGGAGAGCGAGCGCUGUGCCUGUGGCCCACAGCCUGGAGGAUAGCAGCCCUGAGCCCUCAUUUUCUUCCUCUCUCACAGAUGCGCAAAUCUCCCGUGGCCUGAGGCACGCCGCGAGAUCACCGCUCUGUGAAGAUGGAAAGGAGGCGCCUGAGGAGGGACAUCGAGGCCUUGCUGGGAGAUUACAUUGGUCAGAGACUCCGAGAAAAUGGAUUUGAUCCCAAAGGAAAGAGGGUUUCCACUGUGCUGGAUGACUUGGCUCAUUAUGACCUGGCCAUUGCAGUCGCUCUUCAUUGGCUGAAUGAAGACGAAGGAGGAGACGGUGUUGAAAAAGACACAAGAUGCAAGGAAUACCCCCGACCUGGCAGAUACCCCAACAGGCUGGAGCGUGAGGCCAUGAUCCUGUCCUCCUUUGCUGGGACAGUCCUGAACAGGCUCCCGGUGGAAGAUGUGCUGUGCCUCUACAGGUGUAAGCCCUCCACGACGUACGCUCAGAGGAGCAGCCAGAGCCCGAUCGUCCACCCCUUCACCCUCUCCUCCCACCCAUUUGCGAUGCUCACUGCGCACGAGGCUGUGGAGCGCGCCAAGAAGCACACACAGAGGCUGCAGUUCUGGAAAUCUGAGAAGUGCAAGCUGGGGAACACUGCAGAUCAGAACCUCCCAACACAGCCCAGCACCUCCAGCACCCCCAGCAGCACAGAGACCUCGCUCAGCGUCUCCGAUGACUCGACAGAAGAAGCAGAAGAUAGAAACGGCUCGGAGGAAUCGUUUCAUGCCUACAGGGAUACGACCGACUAA
rnacentral:lncRNA from 1 species